AUUGAACGCUGGCGGCAGGCCUAACACAUGCAAGUCGAGCGGAUGAAGGGAGCUUGCUCCUGGAUUCAGCGGCGGACGGGUGAGUAAUGCCUAGGAAUCUGCCUGGUAGUGGGGGAUAACGUCCGGAAACGGGCGCUAAUACCGCAUACGUCCUGAGGGAGAAAGUGGGGGAUCUUCGGACCUCACGCUAUCAGAUGAGCCUAGGUCGGAUUAGCUAGUUGGUGGGGUAAAGGCCUACCAAGGCGACGAUCCGUAACUGGUCUGAGAGGCUGAUCAGUCACACUGGAACUGAGACACGGUCCAGACUCCUACGGGAGGCAGCAGUGGGGAAUAUUGGACAAUGGGCGAAAGCCUGAUCCAGCCAUGCCGCGUGUGUGAAGAAGGUCUUCGGAUUUUAAAGCACUUUAAGUUGGGAGGAAGGGCAGUAAGUUAAUACCUUGCUGUUUUGACGUUACCAACAGAAUAAGCACCGGCUAACUUCGUG
rnacentral:rRNA from 1 species